GUAGAAAGUGUGUGUGAGCUGAUGUGAGCAGCAUGGAUCAGUGUGAGGACAGAGAGGAGGGAGUCCCUCCUUCUAAAACCACUCUGUGUGGGGAACAUGAGAGCCAGACCAAAGCUCAGAGGAACCAACGAGGAAGAAAACGCAAACAUGAACCUGAACCCAGCUGUGUGUCCUGUAAGAGUGACUGGUCUAAAGAUCUCCCCAUUUAUUUUAAAGUCCAGUCUGUGUCUGCUGCAGAGAGGAUCAAUGGGAGACCUGCUGGACCUGAACCCAGCUGUGUGUCCUUACAGAGUGACUGGUCCGAAGAGCGCACCAUUAAUUUUAAAGCCCAGCCUGUGUCUGC